rnacentral:rRNA from 1 species
GGUUAAGCGACUAAGCGUACACGGUGGAUGCCCUGGCAGUCAGAGGCGAUGAAGGGCGUGCUAAUCUGCGAUAAGCGCCGGUAAGGUGAUAUGAACCGUUAUAACCGGCGAUACCCGAAUGGGGAAACCCAGUGUGAUUCGUCACACUAUCAUUAACUGAAUCCAUAGGUUAAUGAGGCGAACCGGGGGAACUGAAACAUCUAAGUACCCCGAGGAAAAGAAAUCAACCGAGAUUCCCCCAGUAGCGGCGAGCGAACGGGGAGGAGCCCAGAGCCUGAAUCAGCAUGUGUGUUAGUGGAAGCGUCUGGAAAGGCGCGCGAUACAGGGUGACAGCCCCGUACACAAAAGCGCAUGUGUUGUGAGCUCGAUGAGUAGGGCGGGACACGUGGUAUCCUGUCUGAAUAUGGGGGGACCAUCCUCCAAGGCUAAAUACUCCUGACUGACCGAUAGUGAACCAGUACCGUGAGGGAAAGGCGAAAAGAACCCCGGCGAGGGGAGUGAAAAAGAACCUGAAACCGUGUACGUACAAGCAGUGGGAGCACAGGUUUACCUGUGUGACUGCGUACCUUUUGUAUAAUGGGUCAGCGACUUAUAUUCUGUAGCAAGGUUAACCGUAUAGGGGAGC